GAUGGAUGACCAUGUAUAUGGAUAUUUUUUUUAUGUUUUUUUGAGUAAUUAGCUAAAGAAAUUUGUUUGAAGUUAAUAUUAUAUCUGUGAAAGGAAUUUGGUUGUCCCUGGCUGUCUCAAUUCAAGUUCCACAUUGGCUGCAACUAGAUAAGAGUUGGUGAUUGCAAAUACGAAUUUGUGAAAUAAAAUCAUAUCCAUCUAGCAUAAUAUUUAUCAGGGGUUAUCCAUAUGUUUGGACUCAUUUAAAUUCAUGUGCAUAGACAUAAAUUUUUGCCAUUAAGUUGAAUACAGAUAUAAGGUAUUUUUCUCUAAUUAUUUUUACAUAUUGAAGUAUGAAUGUUAAAUUAAAUUUGCUCUAUUUUGAGAAAAAUUGCGAACAUUCUUCUCCAAAAG
rnacentral:misc_RNA from 1 species